GAUGAAGAACGCAGCGAAAUGCGAUAAGUAAUGCGAAUUGCAGAAUUUCCGUGAGUCAUCGAAUCUUUGAACGCACAUUGCGCCCCUUGGUAUUCCGAGGGGCAUGCCUGUUCGAGCGUCAUUAUAACCCCUCAAGCUCAGCUUGGUGUUGGGGCCUGCUGCACUGGCAGCCCUUAAAAUCAGUGGCGGCGCCAUCUGGCUCUAAGCGUAGUAAUUCUUCUCGCUAUGGAGUCCUGGUGGAUGCUUGCCAUCAACCCCCAAUUUUUCUAUGGUUGACCUCGGAUCAGGUAGGGAUACCCGCUGAACUUAAGCAUAUCAAUAAGCGGAGGA
rnacentral:misc_RNA from 1 species